CCGAUAGCGGAAUGGAAUACCACAACACUCCCUGGCUCUACCAUGAAACCGGGUCCUGAAGAGAUACCAACAAUCGCCAACCUGUAUCAAGCUUUCUUAUCAGUACUACGCAAUUAUUGGAAUUAUCGUGUGUGUCGUCACAGCAAUGAUCGUCAGCUACAUAACAGGUUUCCAGGAUCCCACUUUAAUCGAUGACAGAUUGAAGUACCAUUUCACAGACGCCCUCUUUUGCUGUUUCCCGGAAAGUUUGAAACAUGCGCGGUGGUUCCGAUAAGAUCAACGAUGAAGAGGAAUUGGAUGACGACGGAGAUUCGGCCGUUGUUCAGGAAGAAAUGGAGGAGCUCAUCUGCAAAGCAAAUCCUUCAGAUGUAAAAAAUGACACACAACACCAGGCAAAACACAUUGAGGAGACUAAUCAAUAAGUAAUAACGACGUCAUACUCUCGAAGACUGCGUUCGGCAAAGGAAUUUUCAACUUGUAAAAAUCAGAGGAUCGGUAAAGCGGCCAC
rnacentral:lncRNA from 1 species